CACCAGCGCUUCCUGCUGCCACAUGGCGCGGACUCUUGGCAUCUACAGGCAGCCAGACUUUCUCAGCUCUGCGGAAGCUGCCUGGCAACGCGAGGCGUCUUCAGUUGCCAUAGCGACAUAGGAGGCUUGCUGCUCAACUUCUGGCCUCAAGUCCGACCUCCUGCGUGUCAAAGCUCUUCAAGAGAGGCUUUUCAGAUCCCUGAUGAGGAAACGAAGUUCAAAAACACAGGAAAACCUCUCAGGCCACACAGUAAGAAGUGGUGAGCUGGAAUGUUAACUACAAAUGCCUAAUUCCAACAUCGGGGUAGGUCACUGCCCAGAACAGAAAAGGUGUGGAGGGCGGGCAGGUACUGGGCAGGUGAAUUCAAGAUAUGGUCUCGGUUUAACCAAUGUCACACCUGUUGCAUCCCGUUGCCUGCUACACGCAAUGUGAUUGAAUAAAUGAAUAUUGAGGAUUCUCAA